UGGGGACAACGUAUGGAAACGUACGCUAAUACCGAAUACGCUCUAAGGAGUAAAGGGGGCCUCUUCUUGAAAGCUCUCGCCAUAGGAUGAGCCCGCGUAAGAUUAGCUAGUUGGUGAGGUAAUGGCUCACCAAGGCGACGAUCUUUAGCUGGUUUGAGAGGAUGAUCAGCCACACUGGGACUGAGACACGGCCCAGACUCCUACGGGAGGCAGCAGUGGGGAAUAUUGGACAAUGGACGAAAGUCUGAUCCAGCCAUACCGCGUGUGUGAAGAAGGCCUUCGGGUUGUAAAGCACUUUCAGUUGGGAGGAAGAUUAGGUAUUUAAUACAUGCCUAGUUUGACGUUACCUUCAGAAGAAGCACCGGCUAACUCUGUGCCAGCAGCCGCGGUAAUACAGAGGGUGCAAGCGUUAUUCSGGAAUUACUGGGCGUAAAGCGCGCUAGGCGGAUUAGUAAGUCAGUUGUGAAAGCCCUGGGCUCAACCUAGGAACUGCAUCUGAUACUGCUAGUCUAGAGUUUAGUAGAGGGAAGGGGAAUUCCAGGUGUAGCAGUGAAAUGCGUAGAUAUCUGGAGGAACAUCAGUGGCGAAGGCGCCUUCCUGGACUAAAACUGACGCUGAGGUGCGAAAGCGUGGGUAGCGAACGGGAUUAGAUACCCCGGUAGUCCACGCCGUAAACGAUGUCAACUAGCUGUUGGCCUUAUUAAAA
rnacentral:rRNA from 1 species